AUGAACUCUCUCCAUUUCCCUCCCAAAAAUCAAAGCUUGCUCCCUCUUCCCUCUCCAUUGCUGCCAUUUUCUCUCUAAGGAGCAAGAGAACUCUUUCCCCAUUGAACAAGGGGAGAAGUCCAAGAGCACACUAAGGAAGAGCAAGGUUCAACAGAGGUGGUUCUAGGAGAAUCCCAAAGUUGAGGCUUUUUGGUGAUCUAGUGAAAACAAAGGUAAGUACAAAAGUAAAGUGGAGCAGUGAGUGCCGGAGUCUGCUUGUGGAUAUGUACAUAUGGCCUGACCUAGGGAGGAUUUUGAUGGAUUACCAUUUUGAAAAGAAACGUUGGGAGCUUGUUAUUUCUUUUAUGACAUUUGUUUUGCUUUAACUCUAUAAAAGAGUAGUUGUAAUUCUGUUUGCUAAAACUAAAAGU